rnacentral:lncRNA from 1 species
AUACGCAAUAUUAUGACCCUGCCAUAGGAAAAAAAUGAUCAUAGCUCAUGAUUGAUGAAAGAACUUAAGAAUAAAAAAAAUUAAAAUCUUGAAAGAAACUCAAAUUUUUGAAAAAAAAAUAAAUUUAGCAUGAAUUAUAUUGCAUAAUUAAAAUUGAUUUCGAAUUGAUGAACUCUAUAUAUUUAUUUUCUAUAAAUGAUUAUUUACUUAAAUACCUGAUG